UACGUAGGGGGCUAGCGUUGUCCGGAAUCAUUGGGCGUAAAGCGCGUGUAGGCGGUCCGGUAAGUCCGCUGUGAAAGUCGAGGGCUCAACCCUCGGAUGCCGGUGGAUACUGUCGGGCUAGAGUGCGGAAGAGGCGAGUGGAAUUCCUGGUGUAGCGGUGAAAUGCGCAGAUAUCAGGAGGAACACCUAUUGCGAAGGCAGCUCGCUGGGACGUUACUGACGCUGAGACGCGGAAGCGUGGGGAGCAAACAGG
rnacentral:rRNA from 1 species